UUUCAUCCCAUCGUAGCAGUGUAGGUAAACGGCACGCCGUCCACUUUUCCGACAGCAACAUGUUUUCCAGCACUCCUCUUUUGCGAGUGAUGCAUCGGCACACUACCUAGUGGUGGGACUGUAUUGGGGGAGAGGGAGCAGAAACAGAGGUGGGGUUAUAGGUUGAAACAAAAUGUCGUUUCAUCAUCAUCAGUAGUGGAAAUGUAAUUUUCGACUACCGGGCGGAUUUUCCAGCAUGGGUAGAAAGUUUUCAUGGACCUCAAAAACGAGACGCUAGCCAAAUCGCUGUCGUGGAUUGUUUUCCAAUCACAGCGCAGAGGCCGGACCCGGUGGGGAUAGUCCGGCUACCAGCGACAGGAUCAACAACGUUCGGCGGGCGAAAUGGCGACUCUAGCCAGCCUUACAGAAGCAAUCGCUUCGGGCACCGGGGUGAUGGGAAACAGCCCGACCGACAAGAAAAAAGUAUAGCAAACUAAAAAUCACCACCACCCUGCAAAACGAUUCUACUGCUUCUGCGCAUCGGUGCAUCCGGAAGUUAUCGCUCACUCGAACGCCGGCCAGUGCGCCGGAAGUCCGAUUAAUGCUUCCGCUUCGUUCGGUUGGCUGGAUGCCUGGCGGAUGCUCAGUAGGACUUGUCUGCUUUGUAAUGGGUUUUUAUUUGCAGUUUGUGUUUUUUCCCUCCUGUUCAUCUCCUUAGGGCGGGCGCGAUUGCAUCUCGCCCGUUCGUCCAUGAAAUUGCUCGGUUUAUAUUAGGCCACACAGAUGGAAGUAGUUCCAUGCUGGACGAAGAAAUAUCUUAGCACCAGCCAAAGGAAUAGUUUCAUGUGAACUAGACAGGUUCAUGGAAAUGCAAGAAACUACACUUUAAAAAGAGUAGUUGGCAGGCGCCAAGCAACCCUUCUUGUGCACAACAUUUGUACUGGUUUACAGCUUUAUUUUACGGUUCAUUUAUCUUGAUUUUUUGUUUUUUAGCUCAUGUUUUACUGUAUGAAUAAUCAAUCGGUAAUUGUUUCUUUCCUGCAAGCCUCCUGUUAGGAUAGAAUGCGUUAAAUGCACCGAACUCUACAACCACACAGUAGCAGCCGCCCGGAAGCUGGCUUGAUGGAAAUGGAAGGGAAAAAGUUCCUUCAAUGACGUACGCCAAAACAGCGUAACGCCACGUCGGAAACGUCACCGUAGCUUGAUGCCGGAUGUGAGGGAAAAAUCACAUAAAAUCCCUUAGGCUAGUGUUUACUACAAACGGACAUCGAAAUGCGUCUGCAUCCGAUCGAUCGAAUGAUUCGUUUCCGGAUAGACGGACACAGCCGAUAUUGAUGUAAUGUAAAGUACCACACAUAUACUACUUUCAGGAGAGAAUAUUGAACCACGAUUCCGGCAUUGUUGCCUAGCAUUAACAUUAAUAUGCUAGUUCUAAUUGAUGAAAAGCGUUCAAUAAACUUGAAAAUAUCAAUUAUUCUGUUUUUUUUCACCUAAUUCUAAUGGCUAAUAUAACAGUAAGUAGUAAA